GGUCUAUUCGUCUAUCGGUUAGGACAAGAGAUUUUCAUUCUCUAAAGGGCGGUUCGAUUCCGCCAUAGACUACAA
rnacentral:tRNA from 1 species